UGAAUGGAUUAGGAAAGAUAGUUUAGUGAAGUGGGCUCAGUUCUAAGUUUUAUUUUAUUUUAUUUAUUCGUGUAUGUACUACAUAUUUAUUCGUGUAUGUAAAAAAAGUGGAGUUUAUUUUUUUGGUGUUUGGGGUUCAAUAAAAAGUGGGGGAGAACCCUAUUCUGAAGCGUGGUACUGAGAAUUUUAUGUCUAUCAUAAAAGAUGUUGGUGUACAUGGGCUUGUAGUCCCAGAUGUUCCAUUAGAAGAGACUGAUAAUUUAAGAAAGGAAGCUCUGAAAAAGAAUAUUGAACUGGUAUUGCUAACCACACCCACUACUCCUAAUGAUCGAAUGAAAGCCAUUGUUCAAGCUGCUGAAGGAUUUGUCUAUCUGGAUUAAUUGUUGAUUGUAAUUUGAGCAAGAGCUUGGUUUUGCAGGAUUUUCUAUAACGAAAGACUUUGGAUUUUAAUUGAUUUAUUGAGAUGUCUUCUGCGGUAAUGCGACAUCACGGAGGUGAUGGCGGGGCAGAUCCUCCUCGAGAUCCAACACAUAUAGAGGCUGACUGUGAGAGA